rnacentral:rRNA from 1 species
UACGUAGGGUGCAAGCGUUGUCCGGAAUUAUUGGGCGUAAAGAGCUCGUAGGCGGUUUGUUGCGUCGGCUGUGAAAUCCCGAGGCUCAACCUCGGGUCUGCAGUCGAUACGAGCAGCUAGAGUGUUGCAGGGGAGACUGGAAUUCCUGGUGUAGCGGUGAAAUGCGCAGAUAUCAGGAGGAACACCGGUGGCGAAGGCGGGUCUCUGGGCAACAACUGACGCUGGAGGCACGAAAGCCGUGGGGAUCAAACAGG